UUGUUAAUUCAUUUAGGUGCACCUUGUCACCAUGGCCCAAGUAUAGGACAUUGUUAAUUCAUGUAGAUGCACCUUGUCACCAUGGCCCAAGUACUAAGGAAUGCAGACCAGAUUUUCAGUUUUGCUAAGAUGUGCUUAGUAUGGGCAGAGACUCUCAAACUGAUUUGAUUAUGGAUUUAAAGAGGACUCCAUCUCAGCUGUCCACCCAUCAUAUGGUGUGACUGGCUGUGGAUAGACUGGGAAAGUCUAUGUGCUUUCCACUUUGUCUGACUCAGAUGCUCUAAUGCCAGUAAAACAUGUUUGAAGUAAACUGUCUCGAAGUGCCAGUUGGUGACUUCCAGGAAAGGCUGUAGACUCAGGCUUCCAUGACUUCAGCUGUAGACGAAUUGAUGGUCUGUUUAGAUUUACUUUUCAUUUGCUUGAUCACUGCAUGGUGUCUCAGGUUUGCAUUUGCUACGAGUUUUGCUGCUUACUAUUUUGUGGAGUGAGAUUUGUGUAAUCAGAUUUUGAGAGCUGGGUGUUUCAAGGCAGAACAUCCCCGAGUGUGAGGGGAAAAAAAAACUUGGCGGAUUUCAGGAGGGACCUUACCUUGAUAAAAACAUUUAUUCCUUGUUACACUUGCUCUUGAAUUGAGCAAGUCGAAUAUCUGCAUUCUGACAAUGUGUACACUGGAGCUGCAGUGUACAAGUUACUGAGCAAUUAUGAGGUGAACUUUUAGUUAGCAUUAAUGGAUCCUUGUUACUUAUGAUUUAGUGUAGAUGGUUCUUUCACAGAAUCUGGAUGUAGCUUAGCCUUAGCCACAUAUCAGCUUUAGUGGCCCAGCUUGACGUCCAUCUGUGUUGGUGAUGGCUGAAUAAGAUGCAUCUUUCUGUUUGAUUAAUUACCCCUUUAUCAUGCUUUUGCAAAAUAAAAUAAAAAGGCUAGUCAGGAAGUAAGGUCACCUGGUUGCAGUCUGUCUGCUGCUUCUCUCACCACCAAGUAUCCGAUUCCACCCCAUGCGCAUACAGUGGUAUGAUGGCAAGAGCAAAAAUGCUUUGACUCAUUCAUUGCAAAAGGUCUGCUCCUGUAGAUUUCUUCCAGUGCUAAGAAAAGUUUUUAAAAGACCAAGAAUACAAGGCAGGAGUAAUCCUGAUUGUACACGAUGGCCCAGAUAGGUAAAUUUUUCCAUGCUUUGAGUUUUUCCCCUGGUCCUGUAAUUUGACUUCUAUAUCUGGGUGUCCCAUCUUGGAAAGCCUAUUUCUUCAAGCUGCUGGCUUUGCUGCUCCAUUUCCAGUAGUUUCCAUUUCUGAAUAAUGUUCGAGAAGAUUCUUGUCUGUCAUUGCGCCAAAGGCCUUCUAUCCAGUGCAUUUAAAGGCAAAUGAAAAGAUUUUUCGGUUUGGGUGUUCAGAAACAAUGAUCUCUUUUCCCUGCCUACAUGUCUUGUCUUUCACUAACUUUCAGAUCUUAAUACUUACUUAUUCAUGUCUUAAAGUCCUUCUGGCCACUGUUUCCUAUGACUAUAUUGAAUAAGAUGUUAAGCCUUUAGCAUCCCUUGAGGUACUAAAGGCCUUUCUUCUCUGUACAUUUCUUCACUCCACAUUGGAUAGAGAUCCCAUCUUCCCUUAUGCUUAUAUUUUUUGUUUGAAAACUUCAGUUUUCAUCCUUUGAACCUGCAGCUUUCAGGACAUAUCAAGUUUUGUGCUGGCAAACCUAUAUUUUAGUGUUACCUACCUCGCCAGUUCAGUCUUUGAACUGAAGACUUUAUCCAUUGCUAUACAUAUCUUGCCUUUCACAAGAAAGGAUUUAUUUGCAUAUCAACCCUUCCUUCAUGUCUAAGGUCGCUGCUUAAGACUUUUUAAACCAUUGUGUUCAUUUAACGAGUUUGUGGUACUCCUAUCAAGGCGAGUGUAGUCUUUACUUUAAAGAUGUGUAUAAGCAGCUCUGGCAUGAAAAAGAAAUGACCAAAAUUGUUGGCUGAAAAUCGGCUGUAUCCUUUGUUAAAUAGAAUAAAGGUAAUGUGCAGUUAUUAAACAAUGCCUUUCCAAAUGGCUUUCUGACUUAUGUUUUGAUAAAUAUGGACAAACCCUGUAAGGUUUUCGUAAAGCAUAUUUCACCAGAGAUGUCUCUGUGGCCACCUUUUUCUUACAGGUUGUAUCCUUGGAUGACAUUUACGCAGGUGUUUGAUUUUUCCAUAUACAAAUAUUUUAUGGUGAGACUGCCAGACGCGUAGGUGUAGGUCUCCUUUGGGGGACAUGGCCAGUUAAGGUCAUACUACCAAAGUGCAGCCACCUGAGAGAAGACUGAGAGGACGUAAGGGUUGUUCACUUUAUUCCUGAUGGUGAUAGGGGGUUGUUCAUUUUGUUCCUGAUGGUGGUAUUCUGACAGGUGUAAAGUUUUGGUAUUUGCCAUAAUGUUUGAAGUGUGAGAAGAGCAAUGACCGAGAAGAAUUCCACCUUCACUGUCCUUGUCUUCUUUUUUCCUUGUGUGUUUUUGUCUAAGGCUGCAUUGUUCUGCAGCUGCAGUGCAUUAUGGGAGUAAGCGAUGGAAUUUUGUAGCAUGAAAUCUUCAUGAUGUCAGGCUGUCAUAACAUCUGCAGCAUUAUUAGUAAUGGUUCCUACAGCUUUCUGUUCUUACAAAUAUAAUAUUGUGAGAACUUGUAACUUGUUUUUGAAUCUUUGAUUUACAUACCUUCUUAACAGUGGAAUUAACAAGUAAUGUCAUUGCUCAUUAAACAGUAAAUUCCUUCUCUUCUGCUCUACCAUGUUGUAGAAGGGUAAACUAUUUGGAAAUGUACCUUUACUCCAGUUUGGAAAGUGGCGUUUUAUGUCUUUUAAAAACUUUUGGCAUUAUCUACAUAAUUAUUGUUGAUGUCUCAGUUAAGUUAUCCUUUGUUGUGUUUGUGUCCAUUGUAAUUAUAACCUCAUACCCUGGUCCAGUAGUGUCAGUUAAAAAGUAACACUUACUGUGCUGGGCAGUGUAUUAGAUAAUGCUUUAUUAACUGUAUUACAUUAUGUCAGGAUAAAUGUCCUUCCACAAACUAUUCCCACUUAACUCUUAAGUAUGCAAAGUGUACAUCCACAGUACUGAUGACCAAAGAAUUCAAAAUUUAUUUCAGAAAUUCCAGGCCAAGUUCAGCCACUGAACACUGCAACACUUCUGUUGGUACAAAACAGCUAUUCAUUCUUUAGCAAUGGUGCUGUUCCUUGUUGUUAGGGUAUAGUGUAUAUUUUUCUUUUUAAAAUCUGCAGUCAGCCGUAGAACAAUAUAAAGGGGAAGUGUUUGUGUUCUUCUUUUAACUGCUUUUAUUUUUUUAAUGUAAGAGAUAAAUAAGUCAAUUGUGUAUUUGGUUGCAAUCAUGAGCUGGACUAAGCACAAAGUGUAAAACUUAGUUAGCCUUUCAUUUACAUUGUGAAAUUGUUUUCUAGUGACUUGUGAUGUAAAAGCACUUUUGACGCAAUACAAUGUAUGACACUAAAAUGAAGUCCGUACUCUAAAUGUAAAUAAAUCUUUGACCUUUGUGUUCUGAUAAUGUUUUGAAUUACCUCUUUGACCAGAUUUCAUUGCUGUGAAAUAAAUAUUAAUAAAUGAA